UUCUUAUCCAGAGAGGUGGAGGGACUGGCCCAUUGAAACCUCAGCAACAGACAUUUGUACUGUGCUAAUUCCAGAAGCGUUAAGCUUGGAGAUAAGAA
rfam:Oceanobacillus picturae, S1, WGS project CCAX01000000 data, contig: 000002